rnacentral:lncRNA from 1 species
AAGGGGAAAAUCAAGAACACACUAAAAGGUUGAUCAACUUGGUAAAAGAAAAUUAGAAAGCCUGUGUGAAGAUCACCUGCUUUUUGCAAUUAAAUAGCACCAGAAUUACCUGGAAGACUUCUUACAUUUUUACCUUUACUUUCAGCUCCACAGACAGUGGAAGCAAGGCAGAGAGGCAACUGGAAAGAGAUAGAUGGAUGAGAGCUGCCGGAAAUGAGAGCUUAGCAGAACAGAAUGUGAAAUCCAAGGACGUUUUCCAAGAGCCCCAUUGGACUGGGUCCUGAGAAAACUUAAGCCUGGCUAUCUUCUUCAUGUGCCCAUUUGCCCUUUAGGAAGGCUCUUCGAUGUUUGACUCUCACCAAAUUACGGAGCACAGCUAACUGCUGGCCCCUCAAUCCUUGCCUCACCAGCCGAGGAAACACACCAGCCUGACUCCUGCCUUCAGUAUUUUCUGAACAGGAGGUGAGCACAAGUCUCCUCAUGUUGCAAACAGCUUUGAUUUAAUGGAUGGUUCUUUUGUGUCCGCCUCCCCCCACUUGCCUUGAGGAAGUGGGAAUGAACUACCCUCUCCUAUCCUUUUCCUUCCCAUGAGUGAGAGGGAAAAAAAUGCCACAGUACUCCCCACUCCUAAAAAUUCUCUUUAAAGAACUCAGCUGAUACAUUUCUAGCCUUUUUUUUAAGUUUACUUCUAUUUAUUUUGAGAGAGAGAGAUAAGAGAGAGAGAGAAGAAAGAGAACUCACACUCAUGAGAGUGGGGGAGGGGCAGAGAGAGAGGGAGAGAAGAGAAUCCCACUGAUAGUGCAGAGCCUGCCACAGGGCUUAAUCUCACAGACCAAACUCAUGAACCAUGAGAUCAGGACCUGAGCCAAAAUCAAUAGUCAGAUGCUUAACUGACUGAACCACCCAACUUCUCCCCUAGCCCUUUUUAAUAUAGACUAGAGUUGAGUGAUGUUCACAGAUCUAUAUGAUCGCAUAUUAAGUGUGUGCUGCAAAGAUAUAUCUAGUCCAUCGAUUCA